rnacentral:rRNA from 1 species
GACGAACGCUGGCGGCGUGCCUAAUACAUGCAAGUCGAACGCAGUGGGGACGGGUGAGUAGCACGUGGGUAACCUCCCAUCAGAGGGGAUAACACUUGGAAACAGGUGCUAAACCGAUCCUGAUGGAUGGACCCGCGGUGCAUUAGCUAGUUGGUGAGGUACCGGCUCACCAAGGCCACGAUGCAUAGCCGACCUGUGAGGGUGAUCGUCCAACCUGGAACGGAGACACGGCCCAAACUCCUACGGGAGGCAGAAGUAGGGAAUCUUCGGAAAUGGAGGAAAGUCUGACCGGGCAACGCCGCGUGAGUGAAGAAGGUUUUCGGAUCGUAAACCUCUGUUGUUAGGAAAGCGGUAUCUAACCAGAAAGCGACGGCUAACUACGUGCCAGCAGCCGCGGUAAUAC